rnacentral:rRNA from 1 species
CCUACGGGUGGCAGCAGUGGGGAAUAUUGCACCAUGGGGGAAACCCUGAUGCAGCGACGCCGCGUGAGUGAAGCAGUAUUUCGGUACGGAAAGCUCUAUCAGCAGGGAAGAAAAUGACGGUACCUGACUCAGAAGCCCCGGCUAACUACGUGCCAGCAGCCGCGGUAAUACGUAGGGGGCAAGCGUUAUCCGGAUUUACGGGGUGUAAAGGGAGCCUAUACGGCAGCGCAAGUCUGGCGUGAAAUCGCCGUGAUUAACCAUGGAACUGCUUUGGAAACUGUGCAGCUGGAGUGCAGGAGAGGUAAGCGGAAUGCCUAGUGUAGCGGUGAAAUGCGUAGAUAUUAGGAGGAACACCAGUGGCGAAGGCGGCUUACUGGACUGUAACUGACGUUGAGGCUCGAAAGCGUGGGGAGCAAACAGGAUUAGAUACCCGGGUAGUC